rnacentral:lncRNA from 1 species
CAUAAAAUAAGGGCUGUGUUUCAUGUAUUCUUACCCUGGCGUUACGUUUUGAUAACCAUGUAAAUCUCUCUCGGACAAGGUGAUUUUUAUCAAUAUAUUUGUCUCUAUUUACUCUCAGAUUCGAAAAUGUUAAUUAGCAUCAAAGUAGACAUCAUGCAAAACUACAAAUCCCUGCAAGCUUUGCUAACAGCACAUGCGCAGUUCGGCACGAGACAACCGUUGGACCCGAUGACGUGUGUCUGCGCAUGAGCUUAGAUAGCCAACGUCGCCAUGACAUCGCCUACGAGCGUGAUCGGGGAUUUCUAUUGGAGAAGCAUGUUCUGCCUAUCUCCAUUCUGUUGGCACUGGACUGUGAAGGUGUCGUUACUGGAGCUGCAAUGACAACAAUGUAGAUGCAUAUUUGAGAUGCAAAUGAAUAAUGAAAAUGUGAUGAUAGAGCACAGAUCUGUCUGUGUGUGUGUGUGUCUAAAUGAGGACUAAUUGUUGAUUUGAGUAUUCAGCCAGGACUCACGAACAACUGUCAACAACACUGAAUCAUAAUCAGGGCUGGAUGACUCCUUAAAUAACUCUCAUCAAAGUCACAUUGACUGUAAUGAAGCAUCAACAUUAGGGAUAAACCAUUGGGAACAGACAGCUAGACCUUGUCCAAUGCAACAACAAAAAGCUGGCAUCCUGCAAAACAUGUAGGCUAUUGUAUGUGACUGUAGGAAAAACGCAUACGAGUUUAGGUCUAGAGUGACAUCCUUUGUAGCUAUUAUUCAUUGAAAAUAUUUUGCUGUCAACUUUCAUUUCAUCAAGAGUUGUAGGUAGAUUUCGAUGGCUAACCCAUUUGUACAAGUCCUGUUGGAAAAUGUAUGUGGGUUUUAACCCACAAGAUCGAUUGCUUUCAGAUACAAAAUGUGUAUGUUUCACAGCUUACAGCCAGG